GCCGUGCGUGCAGAUACUGAUCACUGAGAGAUGGGGCGGACGGCGAGUAGGUUAGAUUGAGAUUGGUGUAGAAACGGGGCACCUCAGGAGAGAGGGAAAACGGGGUUGGAGUGGUGGCGGCGUGAGCCUGCAGCAGACAGUGAGAAAGAAAAAUGGCGGUGGAGGCGUGGCGGCGAUCGGCGAUCGGCGUCGGCAACGGCAGAGGGGAAAAAUAAGAGAUGUG
rnacentral:misc_RNA from 1 species